rnacentral:rRNA from 1 species
GAUGAACGCUGGCGGCGUGCCUAAUACAUGCAAGUCGAGCGAACAGACGAGGAGCUUGCUCCUCUGACGUUAGCGGCGGACGGGUGAGUAACACGUGGAUAACCUACCUAUAAGACUGGGAUAACUUCGGGAAACCGGAGCUAAUACCGGAUAAUAUAUUGAACCGCAUGGUUCAAUAGUGAAAGACGGUUUUGCUGUCACUUAUAGAUGGAUCCGCGCCGCAUUAGCUAGUUGGUAAGGUAACGGCUUACCAAGGCAACGAUGCAUAGCCGACCUGAGAGGGUGAUCGGCCACACUGGAACUGAGACACGGUCCAGACUCCUACGGGAGGAAGCAGUAGGGAAUCUUCCGCAAUGGGCGAAAGCCUGACGGAGCAACGCCGCGUGAGUGAUGAAGGUCUUCGGAUCGUAAAACUCUGUUAUUAGGGAAGAACAAAUGUGUAAGUAACUAUGCACGUCUUGACGGUACCUAAUCAGAAAGCCACGGCUAACUACGUG